GUAGUCAUAUGCUUGUCUCAAAGAUUAAGCCAUGCAUGUCUAAGUAUAAGCAAUCUGUACGGUGAAACUGCGAAUGGCUCAUUAAAUCAGUUAUCGUUUAUUUGAUAGUACCUUACUACAUGGAUACCUGUGGUAAUUCUAGAGCUAAUACAUGCUAAAAACUCCAACUUCGGAAGGAGUGUAUUUAUUAGAUAAAAAACCAAUGCCCUUCGGGGCUCCUUGGUGAAUCAUAAUAACUUAUCGAAUCGCAUGGCCUUGCGCUGGCGAUGGUUCAUUCAAAUUUCUGCCCUAUCAACUUUCGAUGGUAGGAUAGUGGCCUACCAUGGUGGCAACGGGUAACGGGGAAU
rnacentral:rRNA from 1 species